GCGGAACACGUAGAAUGGCGAGUGCAAAGGCGUAGUAAGCGACGAGCCACAAAAUGACAGUUCUUUUUUUUUCUUGUUUCUUCUUUGUUUAAACAUUGGAACAGCGGUUGCUAGGCCAGCGGACAGCGGCAUAUCAGGGCUCCGUGGCGGCGACCAAAUCGCUGAAAACAAGAACAAGAGCUCUUGUGAGCCUGCAUUGUCUUGUGGUGAUGCCUCUAGCUUCUACAGAGGCGAGCUCUUUCAAGAUACGGUUAUAUCUCCAGGCAGCAUUCAUGGAUCGGAAAAUGCGACUCGCACAUCGACCACAAGAGCGCAGAAAGUCUGAAUGAGGGACAUCGCACGACGUAUUCAGCGAGGCGCCUCUUUCUUCUUAUGUUGACCAGCCGUGUAGAAUGCAUGCAAGGCAUGCAGAUUUGCUAAGCAAAGGCUCCCAGUAGAUAGUGCACAUGAACAUUUAUGCUAGUAAAGGGCUGCUAUACAGUAGUCUCUCGGUCUACGAACCGCGUAUUUCGCACUUGGCUGAAACAAGGCGCUGCAAUCCAGACAACCAGAACGCUACCAUUGCGACGAUGCUCCUAUACGACCUUUUAUAUCGACCGACUUUCUUUCUUCUUAAAUCGAAGGCUAAUUUUACGAAUCACCUGAGGCGGAUAGCGCAAUUACAUCUAUUCUGGGCUAUUCAGAAAAGUGGUCGUUAACUUGCAAGUGAAACAACAAGGAGUUAGUAAAUUCUACUAAUUAAUUUUCAAAUAAGUUACUUACGGAAACAUGCAGUUUUGGAACUGAGGCUAGCCAGCUUUUUUAGACUGAUCCCUUUACAGGGCUCCUCUGACUAGCAAGCCUCUCGAGAUAGUCGUCCCCUAAAUUGUGCUGAUACACAAUGCCGUUUCCCGCCAAUUUCCCACAAAGCUUUCCUUGCGCAUUGCAGCCCAAAACUUCAUGGAACACAAAUUUUGUAUUUUGCUCCACGUUUCGGGACAGAUAAUUUAAAUUGUACUAGUUUCAGGAUCCCUUACACAUGUACUGCAUGUCUGAGAACUGACCUUCCGCAGUUACGGAUAUAAAUGUAUUCCUAAAUAGCUAUCAGAAUAUAUGGCACAAAUUUGCCCAAUAUAUAAUUGCCCAUAGCGAUUUGCCCAGCCAAUAAUGUCCUCAUCUUCAGACAACCCAGUUGAGCAGGCGCAACUCCGUUAACAUCGCAGGCAAUUAAAAUUAUAUCGGUCGACAUUGUUAGCAACAACGAAACUUACAACAGCAGAACAGAGUACCCUGUGCGCUUUCACCCCACAGCGUCUCAAUCAGGUUUGGUUUAUAAGACAAUCUUGCUCCAGGAGGCCAGCGUAAAUCUACAUUACGCAAUAAAGGAGUGCGCGUAUAGCAUACUAGGGCACAACGCUGCUCUUACGAGGUAACAAAAAAAAAUGCAUACAUUGGAAAUAAAGUUCGCUGAAGGCUGUGCAGAAAUCCGACAAAAUGAUACAAGUCACCCGCCGUGGUUUGCUCAGUGGCUAUGGUGCUGGGCUGCUGAGCACGGAAGUCGCGGGAUCGAAUCCCGGCCCCCUAAUCUCAAAAGCACCGUAUAACGAAAGCGUAUUUCCCCUCCAUCCCCAGUUACAAGUCCGCUCUAAUAUGCUUCGUUUAGCCAGCGCCGCCGCAUCACUGUGAAUAAUGCAUGGUGGAUGUGCCUGCGGGUGUGGAAUUACACUCGAGAUUUUGACGAGGGGUAACCGGCCCUCGAGGACAGGUGCAAAAUGCGCUGCCCCAGUUGCCGGUUUGAAGGAACGGUAGUUUAGAUUUCUUGUUUUUCUUUCUCGACGAGGUUGGGCGAAAGUCGAAACGCGGCCCGCUUGCGACAGCGGCACGCGCCGGACGCGGAAGAGCGCGCGCGCGCGUGUCGGAGGGCGCAUGCGUGCGAGUGACCUUUGGAUAGGGCGCGAGAGCGGAAGGCGGUGCGUGCGAGCCGGCUCCUCAGGUGCUGCUGCGCGCGCGCCGCUGGUGGCGUCACGGCCCGCGAGGGAGCACGUGGGCCUCGCCGGCAUUCGACUCGCGCAUGUGUCUCGCUCUGGAGCCGGUGAGGAUGACAAAACAGAAAUGCCAUGUCGCGAGAACGACGUCAGCAGCGGGCAGUGCUAAUUGAAAAGUGUGGUUCCAACAAAGCAAAGCAUAAAAGAGAGAGAGAGAGAGAGAGACGAGGAAACCUGAAAGGUAAUAAAGUAAGUUAAACAAAAUACUAAAAUAUGCAAAAGAAAUGGGGGGCGGUGGGGGUGGGGUGCGUGGGUUCGGCGCAGGUUGUUAAAAUUCUGGAAUGAUUUGCUCGGUUAAGGGACCUAUGGCAGGCACAGGAUGAACGAUUCAUUUUUGUUUUGGUGGUUUAUGCUAACGUAAAUGAAUGUAAAGGACACGCCGCUUGCUCUUUUCCUUCAUCCCACUUGCCGUGAAAUUGGCAUUGAAUGAAGCGCUCCCUACGGUUGGAACAAACGAAUACCGUAAUCUGACUGCGCAGAUUGCAUUGCAUUAAAUACUUAAAAACAAAAUUUGUGAUGCCCUUGUGGGCCCAAGCGUCGUAUUUUAGGAAUUCGGGCGCAGCUUCUGCUGUCUGUACUAAGUAAAAUUAUCAACACUGCGGCUACAACCGGCUGCACACAAGUGUACUGUAUGUCGUCUAUUUGUAAAUUGGUGUUUGGUGGCCAAACGAAGGCGAUAAUAUUUAGGUCACUAACUAUUUUUAAAGAAAUUCCCCUUUACAAUCAGCCACGUAUAUAUAUGUAUAUUACCGGCGAACACUAAUGAAGAGUCACUUCCGGUGUUUGUUCCACGUAUGCAACUUGUGCUCGACUGGGAAUUUCUCGCGAAAAAAAAUUUUUGCGCGACAACAGACAGCUGCGAGCAGACAUUGCGACAGUUGAUGCAUGGAUCGGGCGGUUGAGAUAAGCUUAAAACUAUUUAGGGAGGCGCUUUUGAUUUUAUUUAGUGAUUCCUGAAUCACGUAUCAGAGAAAAUCAGUUCAACAUAAUGAAUAUGCUGAAGUGAUCUUCGGCUGGUACAUGUAGAUAAAAUGGUAUUGGCAGUCAGGCAAGGUAUUAUGUUCAGCCAGAUCACAUGCGACGAAGUGAUUCGCGCCAAAACGAUCCUCCACGUGUACAAUAUGUGUCAGUGCGUAUACGUGGAUUCCACUGGUACGGUAAGAGCAUUGGCAGUGCCUCAACUGCGUACAAAGGAGGCUGCGCAGCAGGUGUUCAAUGAGUUUAGGUGAUGCUAUCGCGGAUAAGAAGGUAUGAUCGGUACUUUGGCGUCGGUACUCUUGAUUCCCGCAGCAAAGUGAACAGAUGAGAGUAAGAGCGGUAGUCGGCUCGUUUAAUGCAAGCGUGAGGAGCUCACAACGAAGAGCGCGCUUGGGAUCAGGCUUUUCUAACUGCGCGGAUGGAGCGCACGUGCUCGGCGACUGUAUGCGCUGAGGAAGAAGGAAGCGAAUGGUGCUCUGGGCGGCGCGCGCCAUGCAAGCAUCACCGAAAGGGGUGAAAGGUGGAGAUAGCAUGCAAGCAGUGUGCCCCUUGCGCAGGACCAACGCACCCGUGGCAAGGCGGCUCACGUCACGUGGCAAGCAGAAGCAUGGGGUGGGGGUAGUCUCCCGGCGCAGAGCAGAUCGCGCGCGCCGCAGGUAGACCGCUGCCCCGGGUGCUGCAGGCUGCCGCGAUUCAGGCAAAAACGGGGCUGCUGUUGCGGCGGUGCCAUAUUCACCUCUCCGUCCGGCGGUUGCGGGCGCCACGUCCGCCCAGUGAACGUGACAGUGGGCAUC